GAAUAUGAUAAAGGCCAUCAGAGGAGUACUAACAAACCAGUAUUAGUAGGUCACUUAGUAAUUAAUUAUUAACUAAUUGACAACAGAUUAAUGGAGGAAGAAAUUAUAUAAGCAGAGGGCUCUGGAAAGCCUUUUCUCCCUUUCAGGGAGAGGGAUCAUUGAGAAAGAUGAAAAAAAAAAAAAGUGAAGAAAAGAGAAGUAGGAGGAGAAGAGACAGGGGAGGAGGAGGAACUUGCAGACAAGAGGCAGGAAAAGUGAGUCCAUGGGUAUAGAAGCGGGUGUGGUAAGCAUAUCACCACGAUAGUAAAGCCUUUUUAUGUUUUUUUUCAAACAGUGGUCUUCUCCACAGUGGUCUCCUUUAUCUCCUAAUUGUGAGGCCACACACUUAUUCCGCACUUAAACCAAGCUGCCAUUGCCCAAACAUUUGAGAAAAUGGCAUCUCCCUAGGAAUAUGCUAAAUGGUGGAAAAAACAAAAAAAAAGAGCCAGUGAAUUGUUAUCAGAAUCCUGGGUUCAAGUCCUCUCAGUACUACUCAGGAGCUGGGAGAUUCAGGGCAAUUGCUGAUCCUGAAUUGCAGAGUUGGACACGUGUAGAAGUGGGUGAUGAGACACGGCCCAGAGCUGCUUUGAGGACUGCAUGAGAAAAUUAAGACAGUUCAGUUCAGUUGCUCAGUCGUGUCUGACUCUUUGCGACCCUGUGGACUGCAGCAUGCCAGGCCUCCCUGUCCAUCACCAACUCCUGGAGCUUGCUCAAACUCAUGUCCAUCGAGUUGGUGAUGCCAUCCAACCAUCUCAUCCUCUGUCAUCCCCUUCUCCUCUUGCCUUCAAUAUUUCCCAGCACCAGGGUCUCUUCCAAUGAGUCAGUUCCAAUGAAGACAGAGAGCUGUGCAAGUCUGACUGGACAGGGUUUGGUCUUUGAGGCAACAAAGAGCCACUCAGGACCCGGAGCCUGGCACCGGCAAGCACUCAAACCAAGGUAAAGUGGAGCAAACCUUUUUUUCUUCACAAUCUCCCACACUGAUCCCACUGUCUCUCUCUCUCCCAAAGGGAAACCUCCAAAGCUCCCAAGUGAAAUAGUAGUCAUAGUGGGACCUCCACCUGUGCUCUGCCCCUCAAAGGUGAGCACAGAGCAUCCUGAGCUGGACCUACUUGCCUGCUCAUGUUCCAGACAAACUUGGGGCCAUUUCCUUUCUGCUCCCUGCUAGCUCUCCACCUCAAGGGAUCACAACCGGAGCCUCAGUGACCCAUGAGCCACCACUGCCAUCUUCACAACAAGACUGAAGUCAGCAAGUCAGCUCACCUCCACCCAGAUAAUUCAUUCCAACCAUGAUGAGAAAUGUUCAGAAAAGCAGAGUGUCUGUAAGCACGGAGAAUAAGACUCAAACAAAAACAUCAGAUCUUCCUGGGUCUCAAGCUUCCUGGCUUUUGGACUGAAUCUACAUCAUCAGCUCCUCUGGGUCUCAUGCCUUCAGACUCCAACCACAGUAACACCAGUGGCUUCCUGGGUCUCCUGACUUACCCUGCAGAUCUCAGAACUUACCAGUCUCCAUAAUUACCUGAACCCAUUCCUCAUUAUAAAUAUCUUUCUAUAUUUAUAAAUACACAUCCUACUGGUUCUGUUUCUUUAGAGACUCUCUCUAACACAGCCUUUAAUGGAAAAGCCUGAGCUGAGCUCCCAGCUGUCAGCCAUGUGUGUGACCCAUCUCAGUCAUUCUAGCCCAGCGGCACCCUCAGGUGACUACAGCCAACACCAUAUGGGGUGGAUGCACCACCCAGCUGAGCCCAGUCAGCCCAGUGAGACAGCAAAUGGGUGCUGCUGUCCUAAGUCCCUCAGUGUGGGGUGAUUUGCGAUGCAGCAACAGAUAACGAAAUCAGGGCAGAGUCCUGGUGUGCUGGCAUAAAGAAGACCAGUGUAAGUGAGCAGAGAGCACACAGGGGUGGAGAGAGCAGCAGAAGAAAGGAGUGAAGAGGGAAGCAGUGCCAGAUCAUGCAUGAUCUUGUAGGCAUGGAAGUUUCAGUUAAGAGUUUGAUGUUUUAUUCACCUUCAUUUUCAUCUGUCUUUUCCACCUCAUCUUUUUGUCUUUAGCCCCAGGUUUACUUCCAAAGUGGUAUUUGGAAUUAAGCACCAUGAGGGUCACCACUGCCAAUACACAAGUAUGAACUAUCCUCCAUCACUUCUGCAGGUAUGAAUUUUUCACACUCAAGAGUCCAAGUAAGUCAUGUG
ensembl:lncRNA